rnacentral:rRNA from 1 species
UACAGAGGGUGCAAGCGUUGUUCGGAAUUAUUGGGCGUAAAGCGCGUGUAGGCGGCUUUGCAAGUCGGGUGUGAAAGCCCUCAGCUCAACUGAGGAAGUGCGCCCGAAACUGCAGAGCUUGAGUACCGGAGAGGAUGGCGGAAUUCCCCAAGUAGAGGUGAAAUUCGUAGAUAUGGGGAGGAACACCGGUGGCGAAGGCGGCCAUCUGGACGGAUACUGACACUGAGGUGCGAAAGCGUGGGGAGCAAACAGG